ACUCUAAUGCCCGUUUUCACCAACGAAUACCUAAAUUUAGGGAGCAUUUACGGAACACUUAAUAAGAAUUUCAUUUUCACCAAAGCCUAGGUGUCAAUUUUAACCUAAAAAUUUCACUUAAACUUGGGAGCCCGAUUGAUGCCUGCUUAAACAACCCCUAUCAUUAUCAUUACAGAAUACAAACAUAUUUUGAACCGUUUCUGGCGAUGGAUAGUGAAAUGUACCUUUAUAUGUUAUGUAACACCAAAAAUACCAUGUUUAAAAAGCAAAAAAAAAAUGAAACGUAAACUUUUAGAAAGUUUAGAAGCUGUGGAGGUUGUGGAUAUGUAAAAUAAUAAUCAUUAGAAGACCACGUAGGGUCAUUUCGCCUGUUGGCGACCAUUUAGUGCAGUUGGCAAGUUUGACGGCGAUAAUAAAAAUGCUCCAGCACUCAUUUCCAUGUCAAAUUUGUGUAAUGUAUUCCUUAUAUACUCUAUUUUAAGAUUAAAUUUCAGUUGUAUUAGAAAUAUCUUACGUUUUCUAUUUAAAUCGAUAAACCUCAAAAUUAGGCGUUUUACCCAGUUUGCGUCCACAAAAUCCAAUUCGCGUCCACCCAUGGUCCAGUUCGCGUCCAGUAGCUUAGAAAAGGAAUAUAGGGGUGAUUUUUUUAAGAAUUAAUAAAGAAAGAUUGUAUUAGAUCAAUUUCUUUAUUUAACAAUAAACUUAAUUAUUAAAAGUCAA